CGGGACGGGUGAGUAACGCGUGGGUAACCUGCCUCACACUGGGGGAUAACAGUUAGAAAUAGCUGCUAAUACCGCAUAAGCGCACGGUUCCGCAUGGAACAGUGUGAAAAACUCCGGUGGUGUGAGAUGGACCCGCGUCUGAUUAGCCAGUUGGCGGGGUGACGGCCCACCAAAGCGACGAUCAGUAGCCGGCCUGAGAGGGUGAACGGCCACAUUGGGACUGAGACACGGCCCAA
rnacentral:rRNA from 1 species